rnacentral:lncRNA from 1 species
ACUCGUCUCUAGAUUUUGUACCCUUGUAUGUGUAUUUGUAACCUCGACUAACCACUGAUGUUUAUUUGGAUGGUUCACCUCAGGUUGGCUUCACCUCAGGAUUUCCAUCCAACUAUGUAAGGAUCUCACACCGGCUCGCUUCCUGGUUCACCAUCCACCCGCUUGGACCGACCCGCUCUCCCCCGCGCCCCGCUCCCUCUCUAACCCCACACCGGCCUCUCGGAAACAUCCCCCCUCACCAUGUCGGACCGCUCACAAUUCAUCUCCUGGACUAUUACCCCGGCUCAUCCCCUCCCUAGCUCUUCUGAUCUUCCCAAACCGAUAUUGCAACGCCCCAGGAUUAUUCACUCGUGCUCCAUAGGAUUCCCGGACUCCGCUCUGACACGCUCUCCAUUCACCCUGACCGACCCGCUCUCCAGCUCACCUCAUGCUCCCUCUCCUGGAGCCCCCACUUGGAUACACCCCGGCUCUCAAUCUGCCCCCCUCACACCAGUUCUUCCCCCCAAUUCCCAAUGCUGCACUCCCGUUCCAAAUCCCACUGGAUUUUCCAGUGCGCCUUCAGUUCCCCUUUUACAAUAAAUAUAAAUUAUUUUCUCCAUCCUUCUGUGUUCGAGUUGUGAUUCUGCCUGUCUUGGGUUAGACACAUUCCCCCAACCAUGACAAAGUCCUGAAACCAAACCCUUUCUCCUAGUGUUGCAAUUACACAUCUAGCUUAUGAAAUUAGCACUUUUGUCCUCUUGUGUAACAUCUGCUGCAGAUAUCCCACUAAAAAUGGAAAAGUUGGCAGAAACUGGGUCACAAAAGCAGGAAUCAAAACACCUUUGCUGAACUUGUUUAAUUCUUCAAUCAUGAACAAUGUUCAGAAAAAUUUAGAACUAGUUUAUAUUAAAUUUGGGUAAUUUAUUCAAACAUCAGGCAGAGAACUCGAUAAACAUCAUGUUUUCACUCUAAACAACAUAUUUAUUUUCAAUUUUGCUGAAUUUAUUGUAAUGGUGACAAGGAAAUUAAGAGUUUGUGAGCGACGGUGGCACAGGAGCUAAGUGCUCGCCCCGUAACCGGAAGGUUGCAGGUUUGAGCCCCGCUCAGUUUGUCACUGUCGUUGUGUCCUUGGACAAGACACUUAACCCCCCUUGCCUGCUGGAAGGACCGGUGGCACCUGUGUACAACAGCCUCGCCUCUGUCAGUACACCCCAGGGCAGCUGUGGCUAUGAUGUAGCUCAUCACCACCAGCGUGUGAAUGGGUGAAUGACUGUUUGUGUUGUAAAGCACCUUGAGGGGUUCCAGGACUCUAGAAGGCGCUAUAUCAAAUACAGGCCAUUUACCAUUUUACCCAUCAGGACAUAAAAAAUGAUUUAAUUUUUACAGUAUUUCUAAAUGAUUCAAAUCUAACACACAGAGAACAAUACAUGGUACACAUCCCGUCCUGUGUUCAGAUUUAUUAAACCAAAACAAAAACCUGAAAGAUGAGUGCAUUCGUGCUGCUUCUGCAGGAUCUGACAGCUUCAUCAUCUGUAAUGACCUCAGAGAAGCAACUGUUGCUGCUCAUCAGUAAAGGGUUAAAGGUCAUUUUAAAACAGUUCAGAGUUCAUCAGUCUACACAGAGAGUUUAUUCACCAGCAGCAAAUGCUGAUGAUGGACAUCUCUGCAAGUUCACAUCAAGGUCAGAGGUCGGUACUCAGAGAAAUGUCAAAAAAAUCCUACAGGCCUCAUUUAGGUCAGAGGUUAAAGUUCAGGAGAGGACAGUCUUGCUUGGCUGGAAGGGCUCCCACUGAAGACAACAUGGCAGCAUGACCUAGGUUUGUAAAAUUCUAUUUAAGUGACACAAGAACGCUGCUCCUCAUCAAAGUAAGAGAUUAAACAAACAGAAUAUUAACUGAUCACAAUUAGCUCCUUACAGUAUUAAAUAUGAGAUAAAAAACAUUUUACGAGCCACUCUUUUCACCACCUUCACUUAAGAAAUUUCAAUCUCAUGUCUAAAUUUGUUUUAAAGGUGUGGGUUACUUGUUUAAUCAACCCAUUUGCAGUGGUCUCUAGUCAGAAUAAAUGCCUCAUACACAAGUUGCUCACUCUGCAUUGACCCUGGGCUUUUCUACAAUCUACUUUGGAGAGUGAGACCCAUCCAAUAUGGCGGCGAUGCUGUUACACUAUCCAGCGCCUGAUGGGGCAUUUACAUAUUCAUGUCUACAGGGUCUACUUCUAUGUGAUACUGGUGCUGUAACAUGCAGUCAGUACUUCCGCUGGCGGACCGUAUAGACCUUUAAACAGACAUGGGACCCCAUAACACUGUCACAACUUUGAAAACGAACAUAAUGGAUGAUAGUAUGCCACCAGAACUUUUCCAAAAUAAAUUUUUAAGGUGUAAAAGUUGCAGAAUGGGGCUUUAAAACAAAAAAAGCCUUCCAUGUCUUGAGUCAAGAUCGGUGAGUUCAUGAAUGCUAAUUCACAGUGUGAUGUAGAUAAAUGAGGAUUUUCAAAUCCUAGAGUUUCAUCAUCUAUUUUCUAUCAGAAGAUAGGUGUAGGAGACUAUUUUCAUGUUCAGCCUGCAUGAAAAACUCAGAGUGACAGAUUUUUAUCAGAAAAAAACAUUAAAAAUGUGAAAAAAUAUAUAUUUUAUAUUUUUUAAUGAGUUUAAAGUAAAUAUAUAGUCAAACUAUUUUUUUUCUGAUUCCCUUAUUUUCUACCAUAAUUUACCCCAUAGUAAUCAGCUCCCUUUCUUUCCCUUGGCCUCUCUGACUGUCAUGGUAACACCCCUCACACUCCACUAACCCUCCCUUUAUGGGGAUUAGAUAUAGCGUUCGUUAUAGUGGGGUGAAUUCCAGGAACAAGUCACCGUUAAUAACCUACUGUCUGCGUGGGAAAAAUUGCCAGCAGCACUAAUUCUCCCAAGAACGGCUAGGAUAUUAGAUGCAUGGGGUACCCAGAGUAUGCAUGGCAAUCAGAAACAUGAAACAUGCAAUCAGCCGUUCUGAGUAUCUUUGAUGUUUGAUCAUUUUUUAAUUAACUCUGAGUCAGUAAAAUCCUAAAGGAAACUGCAGUCAGUCAAAAUUAAAAACUGAACUUUGUGUUUUUAUAGAGAAAUGUAUGAAAUCUUAUGUUACGACUUAAAGGUGUGAUUUACUGAAAUAAGCAGUUUUCAAAUAUUCUGAUUAUAAUCAGUCACUUAUUGGCUUCGUCAUGCAGGUUGAACAUGAAAACAGUCUCCUACAUCUAUCUCCUGCAUUAACUUCUGAUAAUAGAUGGUGAAACUCUAGGAUUAGAAAGUCUGACAGAUCUGCGUCACAUUGUCACUUCACGUUCAUGGACUCAUCCAUCUUGACUCGCAACAGGGAAGGCUGUUGUUGGAUUAGUGUCCAGGAAAUAGCAGAGAGCAUCUCAGCUAGAAGCUAACCAUUAGCAUUAGCAACUCCACAACACAGCAGAACUCCUCCAGGUUGUGCUAUUUGUGGCAAUAGAACAUCCAUGUUGUAGAGCAAAUGGAGUCAGUGGUAGAGUUGCGUUUCUGUGAGCCAAUCUGAGGUGAGAUGCCAAAAUAUCAGGAAAUAAGACUCCAAAUCCUGUCGUCUGAAGCUCUCGUUACAGUGGGGUGAAUUCCAGGAACAGAUCUGAUCUGACGAUUUUCUAGAUCCUGAAACAGGCACACCUGCUUUUUGUACCCAGAGUAUGACUUACAAGGCAUUCAUUCCUACUAGUGACCACUGCAAAUGUAUUGAUUAAAUGAAUGAACCACACCUUUAAAAAGAAGAUGUUUCUGGAUUUAAAUCUAAAACUACAUUUGAACUGGACUGCUCUACGGAUCCAUUUGCAUUUGUUCACAUCCGUGAAUCAAUACAAAUUCAACUCAAAUGCAAACAAGUCAAGUCCCUGUCUGUGUUGUGUGUAGGAGGAAGUGUAUACCUUCUGUUUGUCAAUGAUGGCACCAAUGGUUUUUCAUGGAAUUUGCUGUAGUUUGAUGCUCGUGUCUGAUUCAAAUGACCUUUUGUGGCAAAUAGUCUCAAUGUGUCCAACAUCAAGACAUGCAUCUUUACAUUUACAUGUAAAAAAUACCUGUCCAGCUGUAUUAAUCUGCCAGUGUCUGCCUAUGACAAAUGAUACUUGGUCUGCACUGAGUGUGGGAGGGAGGCAGUUCACCUACUUUUGGAUGUUCCGCAUCUUCAAACACUUCAAAGUGUCAGAGAUCAGAGUUGGUCCUUUGCUGUCCUCCGUCUAGCUGGAAGGCACUGGCUGAAACACUCAGAGGUAAAGAUGAUGACACGGUGAGAGAAACAACAUACAGGUGUAACCGUGCAGCCAGCCACUACGAGCCGAGGACGUGCAGUCCGACACCAACACCAAGAGCCUAGUCCUCCUACGUUGCAAAGCCGUAUGUCACUGACCUCAACAGACGUUGAGAAUCUGCUGAUUUUUGAUCAACACUUUAUGGUUUGUUUCCAAUAAUUAUUUAUUCAAUAGUGAUGGAAGCUGAAGGCCCUUUUGUUUUGGUUUUAAGUAAAAUCUUUGACAUUUUCUUUGUGCACAGACACAAAACUUCACCUCAACAUCUUCACCAUGUCCCAAUCAAACUGUAUUCUUACAACGUUCGCGCCUGAGCUGCCAGAAGGGUAACAAGUUACCCAAGUGUUUUAGGAUCUUUUUUACUGAAGUUUUUAUGGUUACAUCCAUUACAACCACAAGCUUUUCAUUGCAAAAGUGUUUAUUGACAGUUACAAAAUGUUCAUCCAAAAUUUCUCUUUUCAGCACUUCUGCAAGUCUGUAUUCUGGCUGGUUUAAUAAACCUCUGGAUUAAAUGCUCAUUCUUUAUAACUCAAUUCAAUUCAAUUUUAUUUAUAUAGCGCGAAAUCAUGACGAGUCAUUUCAAGGCACUUCACAUAAUAAACAUUCCAAUCCAGGUCAGUUCAUUAAGCCAAUCAGAAAUAAAUGUUUCCUAUAUAAGGAACCCAGCAAACACACACACACACACACACACACACACACACACACACACACACACACACACACCAAGCAAUGUGUCUAUGGUUACACUGUGAUUUCUUAGUAAAUAUUCUAUUUAGUGAGAGAUCAACUUUAUUGUAUUUAUCCUAGUGGAUCUAUAAUUAAACGGGUAAACUAGUAG